UGCCAGCAGCCGCGGUAAUUCCAGCUCUAAUAGCGUAUAUUAAAGUUGUUGCAGUUAAAAAGCUCGUAGUUGGAUUUUGGUGUCGGACAGGCGGUCGGCUUUUGUCGUACUGCCCUUCUGACGCCUUCCUUCUGUGGACUGCGUCACUCUUAACUGAGGGGCGUGUGGACGCAGAUCGUUUACUGUGAGUAAAUUAGAGUGUUCAAAGCAGGCCUUACGCUUGAAUACAUUAGCAUGGAAUAAUAGAAUAGGACGUCGGGCCUAUUUUGUUGGUUUAGGGACCGUCGUAAUGAUUAAUAGGGACAGUUGGGGCCGUUCAUAUUCCGUAGUCAGAGGUGAAAUUCUUGGAUUUACGGAAGAUGAACUACUGCGAAAGCAUUCGGCAAGGAUGUUUUCGUUAAUCAAGAACGAAAGUUAGGGGAUCGAAGACGAUCAGAUACCGUCGUAGUCUUAACCAUAAACUAUGCCGACUCGGGAUCAGCAAGUGUCGUUCACGACCUCGCUGGCACCGUGUGAGAAAUCAAAGUCUUUGGGUUCCGGGGGGAGUAUGGUCGCAAGGCUGAAACUUAAAGGAAUUGACGGAAGGGCACCACCAGGAGUGGAGCCUGCGGCUUAAUUUGACUCAACACGGGGAAACUCACCAGGUCCAGACAUAGCGAGGAUUGACAGAUUGACAGCUCUUUCUCGAUUCUAUGGGUGGUGGUGCAUGGCCGUUCUUAGUUGGUGGAGUGAUUUGUCUGGUUAAUUCCGAUAACGAACGAGACCUCAGCCUACUAAAUAGUAACGCCUGCUUCGGCAGGUGGAUUACUUCUUAGAGGGACUUUUCGAGUCAUCGAAAGGAAGUUUGAGGCAAUAACAGGUCUGUGAUGCCCAA
rnacentral:rRNA from 1 species